CUACGGGAGGCUCCAGGCGAGAAAACUUUGCAAUGUGCGAAAGCACGACAAGGUUAAUCCGAGUGGUUUCUGCUAAAGGAACCUUUUGUCAGUCCUAGAAACACUGAUGAAUAAGGGGUGGGCAAGUUCUGGUGUCAGCCGCCGCGGUAAAACCAGCACCUCAAGUGGUCAGGAUGAUUAUUGGGCCUAAAGCAUCCGUAGCCGGCUCUGUAAGUUUUCGGUUAAAUCUGUACGCUCAACGUACAGGCUGCCGGGAAUACUGCAGAACUAGGGAGUGGGAGAGGUAGACGGUACUCGGUAGGAAGGGGUAAAAUCCUUUGAUCUAUUGAUGACCACCUGUGGCGAAGGCGGUCUACCAGAACACGUCCGACGGUGAGGGAUGAAAGCUGGGGGAGCAAACCGGAUUAGAUACCCCUGUAGUC
rnacentral:rRNA from 1 species